rnacentral:rRNA from 1 species
GUUAUAUGGUCAAGUGAAGAAGCGCAUACGGUGGAUGCCUUGGCAGUCAGAGGCGAUGAAAGACGUGGUAGCCUGCGAAAAGCUUCGGGGAGUCGGCAAACAGACUUUGAUCCGGAGAUGUCUGAAUGGGGGAACCCAGCCAUCAUAAGAUGGUUACCUUACACUGAAUACAUAGGUGUAUGGAGCGAACCAGGGGAACUGAAACAUCUAAGUACCCUGAGGAAAAGAAAUCAACCGAGAUUCCCUUAGUAGUGGCGAGCGAACGGGGACUAGCCCUUAAGUGGCUUUGAGAUUAGCGGAACGCUCUGGAAAGUGCGGCCAUAGUGGGUGAUAGCCCUGUACGCGAAAAUCUCUCAGUCAUGAAAUCGAGUAGGACGGAGCACGAGAAACUUCGUCUGAAUAUGGGGGGACCAUCCUCCAAGGCUAAAUACUACUGACUGACCGAUAGUGAACUAGUACCGUGAGGGAAAGGCGAAAAGAACCCCGGAGAGGGGAGUGAAAUAGAUCCUGAAACCGUAUGCGUACAAGCAGUGGGAGCCUGGUGACUGCGUACCUUUUGUAUAAUGGGUCAGCGACUUAUUUUCAGUGGCGAGCUUAACCGAAUAGGGGAGGCGUAGCGAAAGCGAGUCUUAAUAGGGCGUCUAGUCGCUGGGAAUAGACCCGAAACCGGGCGAUCUAUCCAUGGGCAGGUUGAAGGUUGGGUAACACUAACUGGAGGACCGAACCGACUACCGUUGAAAAGUUAGCGGAUGACCUGUGGAUCGGAGUGAAAGGCUAAUCAAGCUCGGAGAUAGCUGGUUCUCCUCGAAAGCUAUUUAGGUAGCGCCUCAUGUAUCACUGUAGGGGGUAGAGCACUGUUUCGGCUAGGGGGUCAUCCCGACUUACCAAACCGAUGCAAACUCCGAAUACCUACAAGUGCCGAGCAUGGGAGACACACGGCGGGUGCUAACGUCCGUCGUGAAAAGGGAAACAACCCAGACCGUCAGCUAAGGUCCCAAAGUUAUGGUUAAGUGGGAAACGAUGUGGGAAGGCUUAGACAGCUAGGAGGUUGGCUUAGAAGCAGCCACCCUUUAAAGAAAGCGUAAUAGCUCACUAGUCGAGUCGGCCUGCGCGGAAGAUGUAACGGGGCUCAAACCAUACACCGAAGCUACGGGUAUCACUUAGGUGAUGCGGUAGAGGAGCGUUCUGUAAGCCUGUGAAGGUGAGUUGAGAAGCUUGCUGGAGGUAUCAGAAGUGCGAAUGCUGACAUGAGUAACGACAAUGGGUGUGAAAAACACCCACGCCGAAAGACCAAGGUUUCCUGCGCAACGUUAAUCGACGCAGGGUUAGUCGGUCCCUAAGGCGAGGCUGAAAAGCGUAGUCGAUGGAAAACAGGUUAAUAUUCCUGUACUUCUGGUUAUUGCGAUGGAGGGACGGAGAAGGCUAGGCCAGCUUGGCGUUGGUUGUCCAAGUUUAAGGUGGUAGGCUGAGAUCUUAGGUAAAUCCGGGAUCUUAAGGCCGAGAGCUGAUGACGAGUUGUCUUUUAGACGACGAAGUGGUUGAUGCCAUGCUUCCAAGAAAAGCUUCUAAGCUUCAGGUAACCAGGAACCGUACCCCAAACCGACACAGGUGGUUGGGUAGAGAAUACCAAGGCGCUUGAGAGAACUCGGGUGAAGGAACUAGGCAAAAUGGCACCGUAACUUCGGGAGAAGGUGCGCCGGUGAGGGUGAAGGACUUGCUCCGUAAGCUCAUGCCGGUCGAAGAUACCAGGCCGCUGCGACUGUUUAUUAAAAACACAGCACUCUGCAAACACGAAAGUGGACGUAUAGGGUGUGACGCCUGCCCGGUGCCGGAAGGUUAAUUGAUGGGGUUAGCUAACGCGAAGCUCUUGAUCGAAGCCCCGGUAAACGGCGGCCGUAACUAUAACGGUCCUAAGGUAGCGAAAUUCCUUGUCGGGUAAGUUCCGACCUGCACGAAUGGCGUAACGAUGGCGGCGCUGUCUCCACCCGAGACUCAGUGAAAUUGAAAUCGCUGUGAAGAUGCAGUGUAUCCGCGGCUAGACGGAAAGACCCCGUGAACCUUUACUAUAGCUUUGCACUGGACUUUGAAUUUGCUUGUGUAGGAUAGGUGGGAGGCUUUGAAGCGUGGACGCCAGUUCGCGUGGAGCCAACCUUGAAAUACCACCCUGGCAACUUUGAGGUUCUAACUCAGGUCCGUUAUCCGGAUCGAGGACAGUGUAUGGUGGGUAGUUUGACUGGGGCGGUCUCCUCCUAAAGAGUNUAGAGUAUAAAGGCAAAAGCGCGCUUGACUGCGAGACAGACACGUCGAGCAGGUACGAAAGUAGGUCUUAGUGAUCCGGUGGUUCUGUAUGGAAGGGCCAUCGCUCAACGGAUAAAAGGUACUCCGGGGAUAACAGGCUGAUACCGCCCAAGAGUUCAUAUCGACGGCGGUGUUUGGCACCUCGAUGUCGGCUCAUCCCCUCCUGGGGCUGAAGCCGGUCCCAAGGGUAUGGCUGUUCGCCAUUUAAAGUGGUACGCGAGCUGGGUUUAGAACGUCGUGAGACAGUUCGGUCCCUAUCUGCCGUGGACGUUUGAGAUUUGAGAGGGGCUGCUCCUAGUACGAGAGGACCGGAGUGGACGAACCUCUGGUGUUCCGGUUGUCACGCCAGUGGCAUUGCCGGGUAGCUAUGUUCGGAAUAGAUAACCGCUGAAAGCAUCUAAGCGGGAAACUAGCCUCAAGAUGAGAUCUCACUGGAACCUUGAGUUCCCUAAAGGGCCGUCGAAGACUACGACGUUGAUAGGUUGGGUGUGUAAGCGCUGUGAGGCGUUGAGCUAACCAAUACUAAUUGCCCGUGAGGCUUGACCAUAUAACACCCAAGCAAUU